GCUAGCGUAGCUUAAUUAA
rnacentral:tRNA from 1 species